GAUGAACGCUAGCGGCAGGCUUAAUACAUGCAAGUCGUGGGGCAGCAGGUUUGUAGCAAUACAGAUGCUGGCGACCGGCAAACGGGUGCGGAACACGUACGCAACCUCCCUCCUCCUGGAAGAUAGCCCACCGAAAGGUGGAUUAAUACUCCAUAAUAUAUUGAAGUGGCAUCACUUUAAUAUUAAAGCUCCGGCGGAAAGAGAUGGGCGUGCGUCUGAUUAGGUAGUUGGCGGGGUAACGGCCCACCAAGCCUGCGAUCAGUAGCUGAUGUGAGAGCAUGAUCAGCCACACGGGCACUGAGACACGGGCCCGACUCCUACGGGAGGCAGCAGUAAGGAAUAUUGGUCAAUGGACGCAAGUCUGAACCAGCCAUGCCGCGUGGAGGAUGAAGGCCCUCUGGGUUGUAAACUUCUUUUCUCUGGGACGAAACCCCCGAUUUCCAUCGGGCCUGACGGUACCAGAGGAAUAAGCACCGGCUAACUCCGUGCCAGCAGCCGCGGUAAUACGGAGGGUGCAAGCGUUAUCCGGAUUCACUGGGUUUAAAGGGUGCGUAGGUGGGCAAGUAAGUCAGUGGUGAAAUCUCUGGGCUUAACCCGGAAACUGCCAUUGAUACUAUUUGUCUUGAAUUCUCUGGAGGUAAGCGGAAUAUGUCAU
rnacentral:rRNA from 1 species